rnacentral:rRNA from 1 species
UAGGGAAUCUUCGGCAAUGGGGGUAACCCUGACCGAGCAACGCCGCGUGAGUGAAGAAGGUCUUCGGAUCGUAAAGCUCUGUUGUAAGAGAAGAACGUGUGUGAGAGUGGAAAGUUCACACAGUGACGGUAACUUACCAGAAAGGGACGGCUAACUACGUGCCAGCAGCCGCGGUAAUACGUAGGUCCCGAGCGUUGUCCGGAUUGAUUGGGCGUAAAGCGAGCGCAGGCGGUUUAAUAAGUCUGAAGUUAAAGGCAGUGGCUUAACCAUUGUUCGCUUUGGAAACUGUUAAACUUGAGUGCAGGAGGGGAGAGUGGAAUUACAUGUGUAGCGGUGAAAUGCGUAGAUAUAUGGCGGAACACCGGUGGCGAAAGCGGCUCUCUGGUCUGUCACUGACGCUGAGGCUCGAAAGCGUGGGGAGCAAACAGG